ACUGCCUGCUGGGUCUGCUCCCUCCGGGGCUGCCUGCCCCUCACAAGGCUGCACUUUCUCAGGGGACGUCUCUUUGGGGUCUUUUGGGUCCUUCUGAGAAGUCACACCAGUCACCAGUGACCCCCGCCCAAACACAAAACCAGAGACUGACAAAAUGUUACCAGGCUGUGAUUUUACCAGGAAGAGACUCUGGGAAAAUGACUGUUAUUGCCAUCAUUUCCCAUGAAGGAAGGACGUUUUAGCACUCAGUAAAGCUGAUGAAGGAACGCUUGGUCCAGGUUGGCAGAUGUUCCUGGAAGGUUUGGGAACCAGUGUCCUAAGGAGACUCACUCUGGCCUAGAGGCCCAGCUCUUACUACCUGUGGGUCCUGUCUCCAUGCUACUCCAUGCUAUUCUCUGAGUAAAAGAGCACUACUGCCAGACCUUGAGAGUCCAAGAAAUCUUUCUGUCGACUCCUCGGCUCACCGAGCCCGCAUCAGGUAUCAUCUGCAAGAGGCCACCCAGCAUUGUCUCCCAAACAGCAUCCUCCACCCAGUGAAUCACAGGGGCCCACCUGCCCACGGCGAGCCUGAGCUGCAGUCUCCCGAGUUUUCUGGCCACAAAGAUGUCUGCCUGAGGCCCAGAGAAGAGAGCCAGGGGCCGGCUCAAGGCCACCUCUCCCCACAAGUCAGGUGCCCCAGGGACAGUUCCCCAGCAGGAAACUGCUUCACCCUCUGGCCCCUUUGCCCUGGGUUUGGAAUCUGCACACUGACCCCCAUGUGACUGACUCCCCAGUCACUGACUCCUCUCUGGAGCCUCCUGGAAACACCCAGACCAGGGUCACAGCAGGGCUUCGGGGCCAGGGUGGGGGU